GGCGCGGUGGCGGAACUGGUAGACGCGCGGGACUCAAAAUCCCGUUUGGUUAAUCCCGAGUGUGGGUUCGAUUCCCACCCGCGCCACCA
rnacentral:tRNA from 1 species